GUGGGGAAUCUUCCGCAAUGGACGAAAGUCUGACGGAGCGACGCCGCGUGAGUGAUGAAGGCCUUCGGGUCGUAAAGCUCUGUCAUCGGGGACGAACGGCCUCAGCAGGUAAUGGCUGGGGAUUGACGGUACCCGAGAAGGAAGCCACGGCUAACUACGUGCCAGCAGCCGCGGUAAUACGUAGGUGGCAAGCGUUGUCCGGAAUUAUUGGGCGUAAAGCGCGCGCAGGUGGGAUCUUAAGUCCAUUUUGAAAGUUCGGAGCUCAACUCCGUGAUGGGAUGGAAACUGGGAUUAUUGAGUACCGGAGAGGAAAGCGGAAUUCCCCGUGUAGCGGUGAAAUGCGUAGAUAUGGGGAGGAACACCAGUGGCGAAGGCGGCUUUCUGGACGAAAACUGACGCUGAGGCGCGAAAGCCAGGGGAGCGAACGGGAUUAGAAACCCUAGUAGUCC
rnacentral:rRNA from 1 species